rnacentral:rRNA from 1 species
GACGAACGCUGGCGGCGUGCUUAACACAUGCAAGUCGAACGGAAAGGCCCUGCUUGCAGGGUACUCGAGUGGCGAACGGGUGAGUAACACGUGGGUUAUCUGCCCUGCACUUCGGGAUAAGCCUGGGAAACUGGGUCUAAUACCGGAUAGGAGCCAUUUUUAGUGUGAUGGUUGGAAAGUUUUUUCGGUGUAGGAUGAGCUCGCGGCCUAUCAGCUUGUUGGUGGGGUAAUGGCCUACCAAGGCGGCGACGGGUAGCCGGCCUGAGAGGGUGGACAGCCACAUAGGGACUGAGAUACGGCCCAGACUCCUACGGGAGGCAGCAGUGGGGAAUAUUGCACAAUGGGCGCAAGCCUGAUGCAGCGACGCCGCGUGGGGGAUGACGGCCUUCGGGUUGUAAACUCCUUUCGCUAGGGACGAAGCUUUUUGUGACGGUACCUAGAUAAGAAGCACCGGCUAACUACGUG